rnacentral:rRNA from 1 species
CAAUAGCGUAUAUUAAAGUUGUUGCAGUUAAAAAGCUCGUAGUUGGAUUUGUGGCGUACGGUGUGUUCCGGGCACUUGUUGUCUGAGUAACCUGCUGUUGCCAUCCUUGGGUGGAACCUGUGUGGCAUUAGGUUGUCGUGCAGGGGAUGCCCAUCAUUUACUGUGAAAAAAUUAGAGUGUUCAAAGCAGGCUUAUGCCGUUGAAUAUAUUAGCAUGGAAUAAUGAGAUAGGACUUUUUUGCUAUUUUGUUGGUUUGCGCAAGAAGGUAAUGAUUAAUAGGGACAGUUGGGGGUACUCGUAUUCCAUUGUCAGAGGUGAAAUUCUUGGAUUUUUGGGAGACGAACUACUGCGAAAGCAUUUACCAAGGAUGUUUUCAUUAA